rnacentral:rRNA from 1 species
CAGUAGCCGCGGGAAUACGUAGGGUGCGAGCGUUAAUCGGAAUUACUGGGCGUAAAGCGCGCGCAGGCGGUUAUAUAAGUCAGAUGUGAAAUCCCCGGGCUCAACCUGGGAACUGCAUCUGAGACUGUAUGGCUAGAGUGUGUCAGAGGGGGGUAGAAUUCCACGUGUAGCAGUGAAAUGCGUAGAUAUGUGGAGGAAUACCGAUGGCGAAGGCAGCCCCCUGGGAUAACACUGACGCUCAUGCACGAAAGCGUGGGGAGCAAACAGGAUUAGAUACCCUGUAGUCCCUGUCUCUUAUACA